ACUAUUUUUUGCUCUGCAAUGGGGUAGGAUACGAAACCUCUUGAAGGUUAACACAGGCUCUCCUACUCAACUCCUAUUCCAACACGUCCUCGUCGUGCAGAGUGGCAACACACAUCUCCAAUCACUCCAAACUUGGGAAUACUAGAUUGCUCCAUUCCCUUGGGUGGAUGGUGAUGUGUGGCGAAAGAGGAGGGG
rnacentral:ribozyme from 1 species